UGCCAAAAUCAAUUGAAAUUUACUUGCAACUGGGAGCAAGUUUGGAAAGCUCCGUUGGUGACGUCAGAGAAGAUUUUGCGCACGUUACUUCACGUAACACACCAACAGGUCAGGACCGGUCAGGACGAGGACAGCAACUUUUGAGCAGAAAGGACAGUUUGGGAAUUCAUAAGCCAUUUUGAAGUGGGAAUUCGUGGAUGUGGAGCCACACAUCAACAGUACCAGACUUGAUGUGUAUCUCAGUAUUGAAGCAACACGUGGAAAGCAGAAGG